GCCUGGGUGGCUCAGUUGGUUGAGUGUCUGACUUCAGCUCAGGUCAUGAUCUCAUGGUUCAUGGGUUCAAGCCCCACUCUGGGCU
rnacentral:tRNA from 1 species